rnacentral:tRNA from 1 species
GGGGCAGUAGCUCAGCCGGUCAGAGCAGCGGACUCAUAAUCCGUCAGGUCGUGGGUUCGAACCCCACCUGCCCCACCA